rnacentral:rRNA from 1 species
GACGAACGCUGGCGGCGUGCUUAACACAUGCAAGUCGAACGGAAAGGCCCUGCUUUUGUGGGGUGCUCGAGUGGCGAACGGGUGAGUAACACGUGAGUAACCUGCCCUUGACUUUGGGAUAACUUCAGGAAACUGGGGCUAAUACCGGAUAGGAGCUCCUGCUGCAUGGUGGGGGUUGGAAAGUUUCGGCGGUUGGGGAUGGACUCGCGGCUUAUCAGCUUGUUGGUGGGGUAGUGGCUUACCAAGGCUUUGACGGGUAGCCGGCCUGAGAGGGUGACCGGCCACAUUGGGACUGAGAUACGGCCCAGACUCCUACUGGAGGCAGCAGUGGGGAAUAUUGCACAAUGGGCGGAAGCCUGAUGCAGCAACGCCGCGUGCGGGAUGACGGCCUUCGCGUUGUGAACCGCUUUCGCCUGUGACGAAGCGUGAGUGACGGUAAUGGGUAAAGAAGCACCGGCUAACUACGUG